rnacentral:rRNA from 1 species
UGGGGAAUCUUGGACAAUGGGGGCAACCCUGAUCCAGCCAUGCCGCGUGAGUGAUGAAGGCCUUAGGGUCGUAAAGCUCUUUCGCCUGUGAAGAUAAUGACGGUAGCAGGUAAAGAAACCCCGGCUAACUCCGUGCCAGCAGCCGCGGUAAUACGGAGGGGGUUAGCGUUGUUCGGAAUUACUGGGCGUAAAGCGCACGUAGGCGGACCAGAAAGUUGGGGGUGAAAUCCCGGGGGCUCAACCCCGGAACUGCCUCCAAAACUAUUGGUCUAGAGUUCGAGAGAGGUGAGUGGAAUUCCAAGUGUAGAGGUGAAAUUCGUAGAUAUUUGGAGGAACACCAGUGGCGAAGGCGGCUCACUGGCUCGAUACUGACGCUGAGGUGCGAAAGUGUGGGGAGCAAAACAGGAUUAGAUACCCCUGGUAGUCCACACCGUAAAACGAUGAAUGCCAGUCGUCGGGUAGCAUGCUAUUCGGUGACACACCUAACGGAUUAAGCAUUCCGCCUGGGGAGUACGGUCGCAAGAUU